rnacentral:rRNA from 1 species
CUUUUUGAAAAUCUUGAAGAAUACUCCGCGGCUGCGCCACGCUCCGCAUUCGUCUCCAAUUUACUAAUUGACUUUCCUAAUUGACUAACUGACUUUCCUUAUUUCCUAACUGAGUACUUCAUUUUCUAACUGAAUAUUCUAAUUUCCUAACUGUCUUUCCUAAUUUCCUAAAUUACUUUUCUUAUUGUCUAACUGACUUUCAUAAUUUCCUAACUGAUCUCAGUUCUGAGAUCCCAGC